rnacentral:lncRNA from 1 species
UCACCCAAUUCUUCCGAUCCGUCAUCUCCCCUCCCCCUCGAUUCCCAUCUCACCCGAGCUCCAUGACCACGAUGCUGACCGCCACCACUUAUUUCUGCUAACUCAGGCGCUCUCCCACGGCGUCGCUCACCAGCCAGGCUGCUCCUUAGUCCUCUCCUCUGAUUCUCCACCGCCGCGACUCCCUCCUCACCGCUGCACAUGACCCAGCAGCAACCCUAGCCGCCACGGGCCGCCCGUGCGAAUCCCGUGUAGGCCCUCUACCCCACGUCUAUGUAUGCGCCGGUGCCAACUCGGGCCCGACGAUGCUGCUCCGCCUUGGCUACCUCGCCUCCGACACCGACGAUUUAGUAAGGCACUUGUCUCGUCUGCUGGUACCCCUCUGAUUCUUUGUGGUGGCAUAGCAUCAUUCCAUGGUCGAUUCUCUGCCGGAAAUUGCAAAUGUGAUCUACGCUACUUAGUGUUAGCCAUCGUGGUGUCGUACAUCACGGCUAGAUAACACCCCAUCACGGUCAGUUACCUUACUGGAUGCUCCCAAAUUCACUUAACCAUUCUAGGUAUUUUAGUUUCGUCCUUGCAUCUUUCAGGGUGCACUGCUAUAUAGUUCUGCACAUGCAAGCCAGUUGUUUCUAGUUUGGUUGAUCUAUUUGGAUAUAUGGUUGAGUCCAUAUGUGUUAAUUCUGAAAGAGUGCUUGCGUCCUUUUUUUAAUCUCAAUAGUUCGUUCUUGUUGCUAUGUCUGUGGAUGAAUCCUUACCGAUUUCAUUGUCACAUGUUGUGUAAUACUAUAAGAAUAAGUCUCACAUGCGUCCAUCUAUCCUAAUAUUCCACUUUAUUGUAUAUAUAAUCCUUAAUUUCAUCUUCCCUUACAAUUUCUGAAACUGACCUUGCUUCAGUCAACAUGUGUCUGUUUCUUGGGUUGCAUUCUCAUCCUUGUAGUAGUUCGAUCUGUUGUGUCGAUGAACAUCCACGUGAGGCUGCAGGAUGGAUGUGAGUUACCAAAACAUUGUCUCUCUUAAUCAAUAUAUCACUGACUCAGUUUCAAUUGUUGAUCCACCUGUUGAGUCCAACAUUUAGUUGACCUUUUCAUUGUGGUGCUUGUAGAAUGGUGUCGUGGCAGCACUACACAAUUAACUAACGACGGCGAGCAACAUCACAGCUCUUCUCAUUGUGUGCACAUGUUGUGGAGCCGCCGGCCUGCUCAAGCCGCCCUCAAUCAGUGCCAACCCUGUGUGAGAAAACUGUAUGGUACUGAUUUCUUAGGUUGUAAGGUUAUGUCUUCCCCUAGGAUUUAAGGUGGUGAACUAUGAUAUACUAUGACUGUAACAUGGUUUGUUGUUUCUUGACUUAUUUCAAUAAUAACUUCAGUGCUUGAGUCAUAACCCUGUAAGGUUUCACCUUGCUCCAAUUACUCAAUCAGAACUCGUGGUUCUACAUGUUGUUGGCUCUCAACUUCCUUCAAUCAGCAUCCGAUCCUUCACAAGAUCAUGAAGUAUUUAUGUCUCACUGGUUCUUCACCGGCCAUAGGAGUUGAUAUAAACAUCAAUAUGCUCAUGGUAAUACACCCUACUUUGCAUACUAAACCAUAUUGAGCUAUUUUAAAUGCAGAACAUCUUUAAUAAACUGAAGAUGAUGUCACAACCCUACUUUGGUUUAUAGAUUACAAAGAGAUUGCCCAAUCUGGAAAACAAAAGGUGGAUGCCAAGGUGAACAGUCGUGUGAUGCCUGCAGCGGGGAUGUUGAAAAGUUUGUGUAAGUUCUUUUGGAUUGCUCUCAAAUAUAAAUUUCUUCAUACGCGUGCGCUGAUGUAGAAACAACAAUUGUCUCAGAUAUCUUCUGAAAGAUCAUGUGUCAUGAUAUUUGAGCAAAGAAGUGUGUAAUUUCCCAAUCUACAUUAGUAGUGCUAUUUUGAUGCAAUGCUACAUUUGAUAUCUUCUAGUAUUCCUUGUAGAUUUUGUGUUGAUCUAAAUAUUGUACUAAACUUAUCUGUAUAGUUGUAUACAGAGUUGCUAAGGGACCUGUAGCAUAGAGAGGCUAAUAUGCCAUUUUGUCAAGAUAAUUAGACUUCUUGUACUAAAGUUUACUAUAGCAAUUUGUACUAAAAUUUACCUUGUUUUACAAAAUUAUCUUGUUUCUAAUUUUUGCAUUAUUGUACAAAAAUUUGCCUUGCUACUGUUGUACUAAAAUUUAACCAUUGAGUAGGUAGUAAGAAUUCAAGGGAGCAAAAAUAAUGAGAAAGGAGCACUCGGGAAAAUUUGCCUUGCUACUGUACGUAUUUUUGAAUUAUUGAAACCUUUCAUCUAUUUAUAUUUUCUGGGAACUGCGUAUCUUUCUUUGAAACCAAAGGAUGUGUUGCAUGUUAACACAUGUUUAUUUUAAGGAAGUACCUCAUUUCUUACAUAGUAUGUUUGCUUUAAGGUUUGCAUUAACUCAAUUGACGUAUAGUAGAUUUGUUUAUAAGAAAACAAGGAUCAAAAGGAUUUGUUAGAUGUAGGCUAUUAAUCUACUUUUCUGCAUACAAAGCUACUAAUGUAGUGACCUUCAAGCAUUGUAUGUUCCUCCUCCUUUACAUUUUGCUGCUCUAUUAACCUCAUUUUCUCUACAGUAAGUUGCUCAUCUCAUUUCUUUGUUUUUGUAGAUUGCCAAGAUAAUAUGGAUGAUGCGUGGAUCAGAUGUUGAUCGCAAGGAUGAUAAUGGGCUACUCUAGAUAAUUAGAAUGUCAUUUUCAGGACAAUUUUGAAACAUUAUAGUUGGUUGCAAGGUUGAGAGUUUGGCUACUGCUAGAUAGUUUCACAUCAUGUAAUAUCUGGAUCGUGUUCUUUGUAAUGCAACAUUGUUGAUUUAAUAUAUGUGACCUUCCUGUUUAUUAUUUUGUGGCUCCUAUACACUAUCUAUAUUGACCUAAUAAUUCUGGAUGGCAAUCUAUA